AAGUUCUUGGGAAUUCAAAAUGUGUGACCGGAGAGACAUUCCACCACCAAUCCCUUCCCAAGUUUUCUGUGCUAACAGAACACCCGAGGCACGCCCACUGACUUCAAACUCAGACACAAGGCCUCAAAUCCUAUUAAACUUUACUUUUCUAAGCUUCCAGUUAAACUAUCCCCACCCUUUCUGACAGAAAGGGAUACAUCAUGAUAAACCGGAAAAAGCUCCUUGGCAGAAAUCGAAACUGUAAGAUGACUCUUCACUAGAAAAGCAAAUGGAAUAUUUUAUAGGGGCCUUUAAGCAUCCAGGUGAAAUCUUCUGAUGAGAAGUGGUUUUUUUUAGAUUUUAGCCACACCAUCCAGAAGACUGUCUUGUUUCAUCGCUCUUCUUUUACUCCACCUGUCCCUUCAACAUCACCUAUGUGCUUGGGCCUAUCCCUAAAGCAUUUUGCUCUUCAACUCAUCGGGUCCGCCUUUGUGUAUAUAUCUUUAUUCUCUGUUGCUUCAUCCGCCUGCAAUUUAUUUUAAAGUCUGUCUCCCAACAAGACUGUAAGGAUCUUGAAGGCUUAGUUGGUCCGGAAGGGGUCAUUAUCGCCAUGCCCCGAACACUGGCCGGUGAUCUGUGUAAGAUGGACUGUCUCAUUAAAACGGGAACCUAGCCGUCUCCAAUAAGUACCA